GACGAACGCUGGCGGCGUGCUUAACACAUGCAAGUCGAACGGGAUCCAUGGGAGCUUGCUCCCGGAAGAUCUAGUGGCGAACGGGUGAGUAACACGUGAGGAACCUGCCCUUCACUGGGGGAUAACUCGGGGAAACUCGAGCUAAUACCGCAUGCCUUCCACUGGUCGCAUGGCCGGCGGAAGAAAGAUUUAUCGGUGAUGGAGGGCCUCGCGGCCUAUCAGCUUGUUGGUGGGGUAACGGCCCACCAAGGCAACGACGGGUAGCUGGUCUGAGAGGACGAUCAGCCACACUGGGACUGAGACACGGCCCAGACUCCUACGGGAGGCAGCAGUGGGGAAUUUUGGACAAUGGGGGCAACCCUGAUCCAGCAAUGCCGCGUGAGUGAAGAAGGCCUUCGGGUUGUAAAGCUCUUUUGUCAGGGAAGAAACAGCAGCUCUAACACAGUCUGCGAAUGACGGUACCUGAAGAAUAAGCACCGGCUAACCACGUGCCAGCAGCCGCAGUAA
rnacentral:rRNA from 1 species